rnacentral:rRNA from 1 species
GACCAAAGGGGGGGUCCUUCUGGGCUCUUGCCAUGUAUGUGCCCAGAUGGGAUUAGCUAGUAGGUGGGGUAACGGCUCACCUAGGCGACGAUCCCUAGCUGGUCUGAGAGGAUGACCAGCCACACUGGAACUGAGACACGGUCCAGACUCCUACGGGAGGCAGCAGUGGGGAAUAUUGCACAAUGGGCGCAAGCCUGAUGCAUGCAUGCCGCGUGUGUGAAGAAGGCCUUCGGGUUGUAAAGUACUUUCAGCGGGGAGGAAGGUGUUAAGGUUAAUAACCUUGUCGAUUGACGUUACCCGCAAAAGAGGCACCGGCUAACUCCGUGCCAGCAGCCUCGGUAAUACGGAGGGUGCAAGUAUUAAUCGGAAUUACUGGGCGUAAAGCGCACGCAGGCGGUCUGUAAAGUCGGAUGUGAAAUCCCCGGGCUCAACCUGGGAACUGCAUUCGAAACUGGCAGGCUAGAGUCUUGUAGAGGGGGGUAGAAUUCCAGGUGUAGCGGUGAAAUGCGUAGAGAUCUGGAGGAAUACCGGUGGCGAAGGCGGCCCCCUGGACAAAGACUGACGCUCAUGUGCGAAAGCGUGGGGAGCAAACAGGAUUAUAUACCCUGGUAGUCCACGCCCGUAAACGAUGUCGAUUUGGAGGUUGUGCUCCUUUGAGGCGUGGCUUCCCGGAGCUAACGCGUUAAAUCGACCCGCCUGGGGGAGUACGGCCGCAAGUUUAAACUUCAAAUGAAUUGACGGGGGCCCGCCACAGCGGUGGGAGCAUGUGGUUUAUUCGAUGCACGCGAAGACCUUAACCUUGUCUUGACAUCACAGACUUACCAGAGAUGCAUUGGUGCCCUUCGGGACUGGAGACAGUGCUGCAUGGCUGUCGUCAGUCUGGCUGUGAAAAUGUUGGGUUAAGUCCCGCAACGAGCGCAACCCUUAUCCUUUGUUGCCAGCGGUUCGGCCGGGAACUCAAAGGAGACUGCCAGUGAUAAACUGGAGGAAGGUGGGGAUGACGUCAAGUCAUCAUGGCCCUUACGACCAGGGCUACACACGUGCUACAAUGGCACAUACAAAGAGAAGCGACCUCGCGAGAGCAAGCGGACCUCAUAAAGUAUGUCGUAGUCCGGAUUGGAGUCUGCAACUCGACUCCAUGAAGUCGGAAUCGCUAGUAAUCGUAGAUCAGAAUGCUACGGUGAAUACGUUCCCUGACAGUGUGCUCCCCGCCCAUCACACCAAGGGAGUGCAUACCAAAAAAGUAGGUAGCUAACCUUCGAGAGCGCGCUAGGCACUUUGUGAUGCAUCAGUGACAUGCAUUUAGGCACCGUCAAUACAC